UGGGGAAUAUUGCACAAUGGGGGGAACCCUGAUGCAGCGACGCCGCGUGAGGGAAGAAGGUUUUCGGAUUGUAAACCUCUGUCCUUGGUGACGAUAAUGACGGUAGCCAAGGAGGAAGCCACGGCUAACUACGUGCCAGCAGCCGCGGUAAUACGUAGGUGGCAAGCGUUGUCCGGAAUUACUGGGUGUAAAGGGAGCGUAGGCGGGAAGACAAGUUGGGAGUGAAAUGUAUGGGCUUAACCCAUAAACUGCUUUCAAAACUGUUUUUCUUGAGUGAAGUAGAGGCAGGCGGAAUUCCUAGUGUAGCGGUGAAAUGCGUAAAUAUUAGGAGGAACACCAGUGGCGAAGGCGGCCUGCUGGGCUUUAACUGACGCUGAGGCUCGAAAGCGUGGGUAGCAAACAGGAUUAGAUACCC
rnacentral:rRNA from 1 species